rnacentral:rRNA from 1 species
UACUGGGCGUAAGCGCACGCAGCGCGGUCUGUCAAGUCGGAUGUGAAAUCCCCGGGCUCAACCUGGGAACUGCAUUCGAAACUGGCAGGCUAGAGUCUUGUAGAGGGGGGUAGAAUUCCAGGUGUAGCGGUGAAAUGCGUAGAGAUCUGGAGGAAUACCGGUGGCGAAGGCGGCCCCCUGGACAAAGACUGACGCUCAGGUGCGAAAGCGUGGGGAGCAAACAGGAUUAGAUACCCUGGUAGUCCACGCCGUAAACGAUGUCGACUUGGAGGUUGUGCCCUUGAGGCGUGGCUUCCGGAGCUAACGCGUUAAGUCGACCGCCUGGGGAGUACGGCCGCAAGGUUAAAACUCAAAUGAAUUGACGGGGGCCCGCACAAGCGGUGGAGCAUGUGGUUUAAUUCGAUGCAACGCGAAGAACCUUACCUACUCUUGACAUCCAGAGAACUUUGCAGAGAUGGAUUGGUGCCUUCGGGAACUCUGAGACAGGUGCUGCAUGGCUGUCGUCAGCUCGUGUUGUGAAAUGUUGGGUUACGUCCCGCAACGAGCGCAACCCUUAUCCUUUGUUGCCA